ensembl:lncRNA
CAAAAAAAUCAAAUCUAAACGUUGAGCUCACAGAGAGCCGACCAUAUCCCUGCAACGUCACCUCGAUCGCCUCAACACCAACAGCAAAUCAUGCCAGCCAGCCAACACAUGUACAGGUCCAGUGAGAAGUGGGCAUCCGAGUGAAAGGACUGCCAAUAAUAAAAAGCCCAAUUCCUGAACUUUCCAACCAUCUUCAUUGUUUAAAGAUUUACAGACUUGAAAUGCCAUUGUGUUCUAAUCACCUUUGUCUGCUCCCUCGUUACUUAUAAAACUCUACAUCUCCAUCACUAGUGUUGCAUCCUAAUCAUGGGGGUGUGGUCUGAGUGAGCAGAGAUGCAUGCUGGGAUACAGUGCUGUCUGAAGUCUUCAGUUCUAUAGACACGCCCCUCAGGAGAAACCAAGUGUUUGAGAAUCUGUCGUGACAUCAGUUACAUGAGCUGGAAUAUCCUUCAAGAUGCCGCCAGGAUUCUCAGAGGAGAAAGGCAUAGAGGAAGAUGUGAGGGUUCUUCCUCUCAGCCAGUGGAACACAACAACAGUCCUCAUCAGAGUACCAUGGAACACUACAGUCUGUUCACAGCAAAAGAAAAACAUUGUCCUCUUUACACCCUAAAGCCCCAGUGAAGGUUUCCUUACCCCCUCAGCUGAAGUGCACAACUUCAGCUCGAAGAGCGCACUAGUUAGAGUUCCCAGUUUGGUUCUGAUUUAAGGGAACAAAUCGUUCAUCUAGUCCUGUCCGAAACAAAUACAGUUCAGCCUGAGCAGACGUGCAACUGAGAGCAAGACAAGAUCCACAGUGCUCUCCAUCAAUCCAGCCAGGUAGGAAGAGCCGUCUCAGUACAGGUCUGAAGGUCAUCUUGAAUAUCCAUUUCCAAUGUCAGACUCUCCUUGUGGAAUUCCUUUAGGUGUCCAUCCGCCAUUGAUCCUGAUUGGUGUAGUCCUAGCUCGAAGAGACUGAUCUGAACACGCCGCUUGCAUCCUUUUACACUUGAGUUGGAUACUGUCCUUUUUUUCCAGUGUGUUGGAUAUCGCUCCUCAGUGUCGCUCUGGAGGCCCUUCAGUAAACGUGUGGCCGUCCAUCAGGUAUGAUUUAUUUGACCAUUCCAAUAUCCCAAGCCAAUCACACAGACCCCUGUAUGAACAUUAUCACUGUCAAAGCAAGCCGGACACACACACACAUAUAACCCAGGACAGGCAUGUAGAACCCCAUGCCAGGUGUGAGUGGGAGACACACACAGUAUAACCCUAGCAAUGCUCAAAAAUCAUCCAUCUCAUGUCACACACGCACACAGGGUAAAAACCUCAUGCCAAAUAACAUUCCAUCAUCCACCCCAAGCUCUCCCGCCAGGGCAACCAGAACAGAACAACCAAUGUCUCCAGAGACGUAAAUUAUGUCCAACAUUAUUCAGUGGCGUCCCACAUUGGUGAUGGAUUAUGCUUGGCGUCUCCAAAAUGUGUCCCAGGUUGAUUCAACGUCUCUGAAGUCCAGUGGUUUCCUGAAUGAGGGGCCUUCACAGAUGCAAACGGUGCAGCUUUAGUCAGCUUGAGGACAGGAAGGAGGUCAUCUGUUCAGAAGACCACUGAUUGGAGGGGGAUGGCUCUUGAGGAGCAGGAUCCAUCUGGGGAUGGCCCCAAAUAAGACCUUCUUGGAAAUGAAACUGUUCCUGAGAAGUCACAAUGCAUGGAGGGGACUUUUGAAUGUGUUCCAUGGUUCUCUGUGUCAGACUGAAGUUGUGUUUUAGUCAUUGAGAUGAG